rnacentral:lncRNA from 1 species
GACCGUCUCCAGGCAAAUGAGCUCGGGAGAGGCUGCUUCUAGAUUGUGAUGCCUAUUACGAGAGUUCCAAAUUCUGUUUGGGCAUGUUGCCUGGAAGUGAGGUCAUGUCUUGGGGUUUCACACCUGAUAAGAGAACCUUACGGCUCAACUUUUUCUUUAUAGUUUGCAAACGUAUCACUCUUGUGACUAUGACCAGUCUCUGCUCCUCAUCGGGGGCUCCUGACCACCAACUACCAGCCACACCCAGCAUGGCAUAUGCAAGACUGCCGCUACUACUUCAUAGGUAUGUCCUGCUUUUCAGUUUAAGGCCUUUCAUGUACAUUAUCUCAUCUGAUGCAUUAGUCUUCACAGGCCAUUUUAUGCCUUUCAGGCAACCCAGGAGACUUAAAGAAGAGGAAUGUUUUAGCUUUGGCUAAAUUCCAGACAAAUUAACUCCUUUGCAACUGCAGACCUGGCAGCAUACAUGCAGUACUGUGGAUGAGUAUGUGGAAGUAUGCUGGUGAACUGAGCUAAGAGGCUCAGGGGCAAACACAGAGAGGGCACAGCAAAUAACCUGGUGCAAGAAGCCCUGACAGAGGCCCCAGAGAACAGUGAAUAGAAGCCAGAAAAGAUGCCAGAGCUGUGGGCAGAGGACCAGGAACGAGGUAGAAGGGUCGGGGAAAAUCUA